GCCCCCUUAGCUCAGGGGAUAGAGCACCGGCCUCCGGAGCCGGGUGCGCAGGUUCGAAUCCUGCAGGGGGCACCA
rnacentral:tRNA from 16 species